rnacentral:rRNA from 1 species
UAGUCCACGCCGUAAACGAUGAUUACUCGCUGUAGGCGAUACACAGUCUGUGGCUAAGCGAAAGUUUUAAGUAAUCCACCUGGGGAGUACGAUCGCAAGAUUGAAACUCAAAGGAAUUGACGGGGGCCCGCACAAGCGGAGGAACAUGUGGUUUAAUUCGAUGAUACGCGAGGAACCUUACCUAGGCUCGAACGCUAUGUGCCGAACUCUGAAAGGAGUUUUCUCUUCGGAGCGGAUAGUGAGGUGCUGCAUGGUUGUCGUCAGCUCGUGCCGUGAGGUGUUGGGUUAAGUCCCGCAACGAGCGCAACCCUUGUCUUUAGUUGCCAGCAUGUAAUGAUGGGGACUCUAAAGAGACUGCCUCCGUAAGGAGUGAGGAAGGUGGGGAUGACGUCAAAUCAUCAUGGCCUUUAUGCCUAGGGCUACACACGUGCUACAAUGGUAAAUACAGAGGGCAGCGAACCUGCGAGGGGGAGCCAAUCUCAGAAAAUUUGUCUCAGUUCGGAUCGGA